rnacentral:rRNA from 1 species
AUACUGUUAGAGGGAUAGCUUGGUUUAAAUCUUGAUGAAGGACGUGGCAAGCUGCGAUAAGCCUUGGGGAGCUGCAUGCAGGCAUUGAUCCGAGGAUUUCCGAAUGGGAAAACCUAAAUAAUCCGAGAGGAUAAAUUACGCUGGGAAUUGAAACAUCUUAGUACCCGGAGGAAAAGAAAACAAUAGUGAUAUCCUUAUUAGCAGCGAGCGAAAAGGAUAUAGGGCAAACUGAAUCUCUUCUGAAAGGAAGUAAGAGAUGUGGUGAGUAAUAAGUUCUAAGUCACACAGUCGAAGUCUUUUGGAAAGAGGCACCGUAGAAAGUGAUAGUCUUGUAGAUUUAAGUGAUAUGAACUUGCUCGAAAGAGUAGUGUUUCCUGGAUUGGAGGCAUGAAUAUAGCAGAAUUAACUGCUAACCCUAAAUAUUGAUUUAAGUCCGAUAGCGCACUAGUACCGCGAGGGAAAGCUGAAAAGGACCCUUAAAAGGGUGUUAAAAGAUUUGAAAUCUAACAGUUACAGUUGGUUACGGCCCUAAGGGGUUGUAACGUACGUCUUGAAAAACGGACCAGGGAGUUUAUCUAAGUGGCAAGAUUAACCAAAGGAAGUCGUAGCGAAAGCGAGUUUGAAAGAGCGUUAGUCACUUGGGUAAGACUUGAAGCCAGAUGAUCUAUUCGUGAGCAGGAUGAAGUUUUUCGAAAGGAAAAUGGAGGUCCGAACCGUUGUUGUGUGCAUGCACUUGGAUGACUUGCGAUUAGGGGUGAAAAGCCUAUCUAAUCUGGCAAUGGCUAGUUCCUGUUGAAAUAUGCCUACGUAUAGUCUCAUUGCUUGGUUCUCCUACGGUGUAAAGUACGGAUAGUUUGUGCAGAGCGCUCUAGCUACGGCAAACUUUCCAACUCAGAAGCUGUGGGAUGCAUGUAAUGGGAAACAGGGGCGGUGCGUAAGGUACUGUUCCGAGACCCGAACAAGGGAGACCGUGGUUAAGGUCCUAAAGAUUAUGUUAAGUGUAUCAAAAGGAGUUCUAAACCUGAGACAGUAGGGAGGUAGACAUAGAAGCCGUCACCCUUUAAAGAAAGCGUAACAGCUCACCUAUUGAGGUUUGGAGCCCUGAAAAUGGACGGGGCUAAAACAUAACACCGAUACCGCGGACGUACUCAUUUGAGUAUUGUGGUAAACAGGCGUCUUUUCUGCAUAGAAGUUUCUUCGAGAGAAGUGGUGGAGCAGGAAGGAAUGAGAAUCCUGGUAGGAGUAAGAACAAAUUUUGCUGAGAACCGCAAAAGAUCGUAAGGGCAAGGUUUCCUUGGCAAUAUCAAUUAACCAAGGGUUAGUCGGCACCUAAGUGAUGCCUUAACAGAGUAUCGCGAAUGGACAGUAGGUUAAUAUUCCUGCACUGAAAUAAUCUUAAGAUAUAUAGUUCCACUUCAGGAUAAGCGAACAUCCGAAAGGAUGAUGGAUGCAAGAAAGUGAAGGAGCGUAAUGCUUAGAGCUCAUUGAAUUGCAUUCGGGAAAGUCGUUGAUUCCAGGAGUCAGUGAAAAGAUUAUAUAUUUGAUUAUUUUAGCCGUACCCAGAAUCGGCACUGAUGCCCUAGCUGAGAAGGCUAAGAUCUGAAAGUUUAAUCUGGUUAAGGGAAUUCGGCAACAUUGGCCCCUUAGCUUAGGUAUAAGGGGUGCCUAUCUUUGUUUAAGCAAAUUUUUGUGUACGCAUUGAUAGGUCGCAGUGACAAAGAUGGUUCGACUGUUUAUCAAAAACAUAGCUGAUUGCUAAUCUGAAAAGACUUGUAUAAUCAGUGAGACCUGCCCAGUGGUGGUGUCUAAAAUUCCUUUUCAAGGGAGCUAAGGCCCAUCAAACGGCGGGCCUAAUUCUUGAGGCUCUUAAGGUAGCGUAGUACCUUGUCGUCUGAAUGGCGACUUGCAUGAAUGGUUUAACGAAAUCGUCGCUGUCCCUAACCAGAAGCUUCUGAAAUUAUUGUCUGGUGAACAGACCAGAGACGCCUAACGGGAAGCUAAGACCUUAUGGACCUUUACUGCAACUUGUUGUUGUGAGUUUAUAAUUGAUGCCCAGAAUAGGUAGGAGAAUACGUGUAGUUUCGGCGAAACGGCAUGUCGUCCUUGUAAUACUACCCAUCGUUUAUGGAUCCACUUACUCUUUUAGAGGACAUCAUCAGGCGGGCAGUUUGCCUGGGGCGGGACCCCUCUGAAAAGAUAUCGGAGGGGCCCAAAGACAAGCUCAUCCAGGUCGGAAAUCUGGAGUAGAGUGCAAGGGCAAAAGCUUGUUUAACUGCUUUUUGAAAAGCAAGAAAAGCAGAAUUGAAAGAUGGGCCUAUCGACCCAUUGGUGGCUUUUAAUGAGCCCCAAUUGUGACAGAAAAGGUACCCUAAGGAUAAUUGGGUUGUCUCGCCCGAUAGUUCAAAUUGACGGCGAGGCUUGCUACUCCGCUGUCGGCUCUUCCUAACCUGGUCGUGCACAAGCGACCAAGGG